GGGAAGGCUGCUGUCAGCAUCAGGCCAAUUGACACCACACCCCCUCAGAGCCUGGCUGAUGCUCCUGGUCUGGACUCUUCUGAGGAGAAAGUUGUCUCUGCAAAAGUGCAGACCUUCAUGAAGAACAUGCAUCAGAGACUGACAGCCAAGGUGUUCCCAGAGAACAGACUGUUCAUGGACUUUCUGAGGCUGACUGAUACAUACCCCACUGAUGUUGCCUUGACCCUCCUGCGCUGUUCCCCAUCAUGUGACAGAGCUGCUGCAGUCAUGUGGAGGACCAUAGCCUUGUC